UUAAACAAUUAACUUACAAAAAUUAUAAAUAUUUCUAUUUUUUUUCUUUUGUGAUGUGUGACACGCCACGAAAAUUGUUUCGAUUUUUCAAAAUUUUGACACACCGAGCUCAAAAGGUUCGCCAUCACUGGUCUAGCCACGUUCGCUCAUAUAACAUUGUGCGCGCCAACAAUUGUAUAAACAUGCUGGAAACUGUUGAAAGAUGGCAGAGAAGUUCGCAAGGCAUGUGUAAAAAUUGUAUUUUUAUUUCAAAGGGAGAAUGAGAGAAUAUUCGCGAAUAUAAUAAUGUUUUAUAUUAUGUGGGUUGUUACUUAGCCAUUCAGCGGUCAUUCGUAAUAACUGAUCCAUAUGUUUGUUAAAUAAUUUAUCAAAUUUCGAAUAAUGCAUAUUUUAGGUCACUUGGAGGGUAGAAUUCGGCUUCGAAUUAAAAAUUACAAUGGAUAAUGCGAAAUAUAGUUAAAUGUAUACGUUGAGCUGGAGAUUGUAGGUUGCUUAUAAGGAAUGCUUUGAAUUCGUCGAUAUCGAAUGAAGUUUACUGUAGUUUGUAAUUUUUCGUUUGGUAGAUACAAUAUUUCGAUAUUCAAUGAAUUUAAACAUCAAUUUAAAUAUAACUUGAACUAUGGAGCUUGACAGACUAAAAACUUAAUUGGUCAGUAGGAACAUGAUUAAAUGGCACAUGGACUUCCAACUAAAAGUUCGUCUAAUUAAAGCAAUAGUCUAUUUCGUAAUUUUAUGGUCGUCAAAAACAUUUGUAAUAACAAAUUCACCUAUCGGAACUGAAUAAAGUGAAAUACUAAUUUAGACUGAUUCUGAAAUUCUAUAAAAAUGAGAAGGUUCAGGGUUGAUCAGUGGUUUAUACCAUAUUUAAUAUGAAAAUCGAAAAAUUCAAUAUAAAAUUAGAAUCUGCCAUGUGCGGAGGACGUGCAAAGUCCUUAGGCACUAAGGACUUCGGCUGCCGAAUGCUCGUAAAUAUCAAGUUUGAAUAUGUAAGAAUUGUAGUUAAGAAAAUGAAAUUUUGUAAAUCAUUCGAAUUUUGUUCUAAAAUUAUCAUUCGAUAUUUAAAUGAUUUCAAAAAUAAAAAUUAUAUAAUAAAAAUUCCGUUUUUAAUCCUUAGGUAAGCAUCUAGUGCUAAACCAUCGCAGAUAAUGGAUAUUUUGAAUAUAUGGACUACGCACUAAUUCGUAUAAUUAUGCAUUUAUAAGAUUUGUGAUAUAUUUUAUCAUAGAUUAGAUCCGCUGAUUAUAGAAUGCAAUUUCCCAGGUAGUUGAUUUAAAAAUCUAUAUCCUGGAAUGUAAUUCGAUUGCCGAGGCUAUUUUUGUUAAUAGAUGACGCCACUUUCCACUCGUAGUAAGUCGCGGAACAAAACAAGACCUUCGAGAGGCUGCCCCUCUUGCGGAGAGAUGAGCCGGAUCGUGAAGAUGGGGAUUUACAGAUCGGGCCCGAGUUCCAUGAUAAAUAUUUCCAAGGAAUAAAACCAGGAUCUUGAGGAAAGCCGAAAC
rnacentral:lncRNA from 1 species